rfam:Arabis alpina cultivar Pajares Aa.chr5_contig_1672, whole genome shotgun sequence.
AACCCGUGAUGAGGACAAUAACUAUGAUAUCCUUUGAACCUUUCCCACACAGCUUUGAAAGAUUCCGUUAGAUUCUGAACGAAUGUUGAGAUCUUAGCUCGUAGAU